GACUACCAAUGGAGAUGGUCU
rnacentral:snRNA from 1 species